UUUAUGAUUUAAAAGAAUCAAAAGUGUAUUUAUUGUGAUUUUUGCUGCUGUAAACUAGCUUUAUUUAUAUACAUAACAAUCCAGUAUUUAGGCAUGUGCGAGCGACAAUUAUCCAAUCAGAAUCCAAUAUUUUCAUUUUCCGCGAAUACGUUUGUUUUGAUUACAUCAGUUAAGAUUGGGGUUUUUAUGGAUACCAUUAAUGUAAUUUGUGGAUAAUUUAAAUAUUGAAGUCAAAGUUGUCAGAACUGGUUUGUAUCGGUUUGUAUUUUGCAUGUAUACUUCCGGUAUUGUUAACCAAGGCAGAACCGAAACACUCAACAGAAAAAAACUAAGGGAAACUUAAUUUUUCUUUCAAUAUAGAGUAUUGCUAAUUUAGAAUUUUUUUGUGCUCGAUAUUUUUUUUUUUGCUGGUGUUAGUGAUGUUCGAUUUUUUUUCUUCCAUUCGAGACAUGCUCGAUAUUUUUUUCGGAUUUGCGCCCCCCCUCCCAUGAAAAAUCAAAUGGUCCGUCCCUUAGCAAGUGCCCUAAAGAGAGGCAGUCACCCCCCUGAAAACAUAUUGAAAAUUUAAUAUUCCAUGGGGGUGAAUGCCUCUCACUUGCUAAGAACAUGGCCGCCAGCUAUUUCGGUAAAAAAGCGCCUUACGGUUUUGUAAUGGAAGUUACACUUCUGUAUGUCUUUAUUCUGUGCCUAUAUAUAGGAUAAUGCAUUAGCCUGCGAACAGGCCUGUUCGCAGGCUAGAUAAUGCAUGAGCUCCGAGGCCUUCUUAAAAAUAAUGACCGAGCGAGGAGUUCGUGCAUUAUCCAAUUUAAUGCAUAUUUUCAUUGUUUUUUGUUCUAUCUCAGUGAGAUAGAACAGCAGGUUAUUAUUAGGGUCAUUGAGGCAGAAAAGGAGGUUAUUAUUUUAAGAAUAAUGACCUCCAGUUCCACUUGAUUGACCGCAAUAAUGAAUUGCUACUGACCGUUGUAGUCGCUUAUUAAAAAUAAGAACCUGUUCAAAACAAUGAAAAUAUGCAUUAAAAAUAAAUAAAUAGGCCUGAAACGUAUUUCGAUUGUAAAUCUGAUUUGUCUAUGAGAAAAAAGAUUUUUUAAUCUGUCAUUUGAUUGGUUGGUGCGCAUUGCCCCAGUACCUGAGUGCUGAUAUUGACAGAGUACAAAAGAGAGCGUUUUCAAUCAUUGACCCAAGUAAAACCUAUGAUGCUAAUAUGGGCCAAUCGGCGGUUUAACCACCUUACAUAACAGACGUCAGGAACUCUGCGAUAACCAGUUUGAAAGAAUCUCAGUACUCUCGCACAAACUCUUCAGUCUUUUACCGCCAAGACAUGGCCCCAAUCUAAAUCUUCGUAAGUACCAUGAGUAUGAUCUUCCACGAAUUCACACGGACAGAUGCAGACACUCCUUCAUCCCAGCAAUGUUUGCGAA